GUGAGGAAUUUUCCGCAAUGGGCGAAAGCCUGACGGAGCAAUGCCGCGUGAAGGAUGAAGGCCUAUGGGUUGUAAACUUCUUUUCUCAGAAAAGAAUUAUGACGGUAUCUGAGGAAUAAGCAUCGGCUAACUCUGUGCCAGCAGCCGCGGUAAGACAGAGGAUGCAAGCGUUAUCCGGAAUGAUUGGGCGUAAAGCGUCUGUAGGUUGUUUAAAAAGUAUUCUGUCAAAGAUUAGGGCUUAACCCUAGAUAGGCAGAAUAAACUUUUAAGCUAGAGUUUGGUAGAGGCAGAGGGAAUUCCCGGUGGAGCGGUGAAAUGCGUAGAUAUCGGGAGGAACACCAAAGGCGAAGGCACUCUGCUGGGCCAAUACUAACACUGAGAGACGAAAGCGAGGGGAGCAAAUGGGAUUAGAUACCCUGGUUCC
rnacentral:rRNA from 1 species